rnacentral:rRNA from 1 species
UGAGUAGCUGCGAGCGAAACGGGAAGAGCUCAGCACGCAGGGGCGAUGCACUGGUGUAUCUGCCCGGUUCCGUGUACUGGAGAGUUCGUUAUCUGCCGUAACCGGUCGCUGGUUCAAGUUCAACUAGAAUGUGGCUUUUACUCCCAGAGAGGGUGAUAGGCCCGUAGAGCGGCGCACCGAUGGUAGAAGAUCUUUCCAUGGAGUCGUGUUGCUUGAUAGUGCAGCACAAAGUGGGAGGUAAACUCCUUCUAAAGCUAAAUAUCACCACGAGACCGAUAGCGAACAAGUACCGUGAGGGAAAGUUGAAAAGCACUCUGAAUAGAGAGUCAAAAAGUACGUGAAACUGCCUAGGGCUCAAGCCCGUUGAACUCGAUUAUCCGAGCGGAGACAUUCACCUGCGGUUGGCCGGCGACGGCACGGCCGCAGGGCACUUGUCUCUCGCACUAGCCAAGAGGACACUGCGAUCCAUUACGAAACAGCUUUCGCGCCGCAAGGCGCAAGGUCGCCCGACAACUGCCCCCUGGUGCUGGUUGCUUGCCCCACAGUAGCGACGCUCAGUUCUGAAGGCCUGUGCCGCGAGGUGGGGCUUACUGCACGUGGUGUUUUGCAGUCGGGCGCGUGAUGGAUUCCCCCGGACACCGGGUGGUCUUCCCGCAAGGGGCCACCGGACUGUCGAUCGGCAGUGAAAGAAUCGAGGUACCUUCGG